rnacentral:rRNA from 1 species
GAUGAACGCUGGCGGCGUGCUUAACACAUGCAAGUCGAACGGAAAGGCCCAAGCUUGCUUGGGUACUCGAGUGGCGAACGGGUGAGUAACACGUGGGUGAUCUGCCCUGCACUUCGGGAUAAGCCUGGGAAACUGGGUCUAAUACCGGAUAGGACGAUGGUUUGGAUGCCAUUGUGGAAAGUUUUUUCGGUGUGGGUUGAGCUCGCGGCCUAUCAGCUUGUUGGUGGGGUAAUGGCCUACCAAGGCGUCGACGGGUAGCCGGCCUGAGAGGGUGUACGGCCACAUUGGGACUGGGAUACGGCACAGACUCCUACGGGAGGCAGCAGUGGGGAAUAUUGCACAAUGGGCGCAAGCCUGAUGCAGCGACGCCGCGUGGGGGAUGACGGCCUUCGGGUUGUGAACUCCUUUCGCUAGGGACGAAGCGUUUUUGUGACGGUACCUGGAGAAGGAGCACCGGCUAACUACGUG